UACGUAGGUGGCAAGCGUUGUCCGGAUUUACUGGGUGUAAAGGGCGCGUAGGCGGGCUUGCAAGUCAGUCGUGAAAUGCCGGAGCUUAACUCCGGAGCUGCGAUUGAAACUGUAAGUCUUGAGUGUCGGAGAGGAAAGCGGAAUUCCUAGUGUAGCGGUGAGAUGCGUAGAUAUUAGGAGGAACACCGGUGGCGAAGGCGGCUUUCUGGACGAUAACUGACGCUGAGGCGCGAAAGUGUGGGGAGCAAAC
rnacentral:rRNA from 1 species